GAGUAUGUAGCUUAAUUGGAUAAAGCAUUGAACUUUUAAUUUAGUGAUUUUAGGUUCAAGUCCUAACAUACUCA
rnacentral:tRNA from 1 species